rnacentral:rRNA from 1 species
GACGAACGCUGGCGGCGUGCUUAACACAUGCAAGUCGAGCGGAAAGGCCACUUCGGUGGUACUCGAGCGGCGAACGGGUGAGUAACACGUGAGUAAUCUGCCCUUGGCUUUGGGAUAGCCACCGGAAACGGUGAUUAAUACCGGAUACGACCACUCCAGGCAUCUGGUGGUGGUGGAAAGUUUUUCGGCCAGGGAUGUGCUCGCGGCCUAUCAGCUUGAUGGUGAGGUAAUGGCUCACCAUGGCUUCGACGGGUAGCCGGCCUGAGAGGGUGACCGGUCACACUGGGACUGAGACACGGCCCAGACUCCUACGGGAGGCAGCAGUGGGGAAUAUUGGACAAUGGGCGGAAGCCUGAUCCAGCAACGCCGCGUGAGGGAUGACGGCCUUCGGGUUGUAAACCUCUUUCGGUAGGGACGAAGCGCAAGUGACGGUACCUACUAAAGAAGCACCGGCCAACUACGUG